AUACGGAGGAUCCGAGCGUUAUCCGGAUUUAUUGGGUUUAAAGGGAGCGUAGAUGGAUGUUUAAGUCAGUUGUGAAAGUUUGCGGCUCAACCGUAAAAUUGCAGUUGAUACUGGAUAUCUUGAGUGCAGUUGAGGCAGGCGGAAUUCGUGGUGUAGCGGUGAAAUGCUUAGAUAUCACGAAGAACUCCGAUUGCGAAGGCAGCCUGCUAAGCUGCAACUGACAUUGAGGCUCGAAAGUGUGGGUAUCAAACAGGAUUAGAUACCCUGGUAGUCCACACGGUAAACGAUGAAUACUCGCUGUUUGCGAUAUACUGCAAGCGGCCAAGCGAAAGCGUUAAGUAUUCCACCUGGGGAGUACGUCGGCAACGAUGAAACUCAAAUGAAUUGACGGGG
rnacentral:rRNA from 1 species